rnacentral:rRNA from 1 species
GCCUAGCCCUAAAUCUUGAUGCUUACCCCACUAAAGCAUCCGCCCGAGAACUACGAGCACAAACGCUUAAAACUCUAAGGACUUGGCGGUGCCCCAAACCCACCUAGAGGAGCCUGUUCUGUAAUCGACAACCCACGCUACACCCGACCACUCCUUGCAAAAACUACAGUCUACAUACCGCCGUCGCCAGCUCACCUCCACUGAGAGCAUAAUAGUGAACACAAUUGCCCUAACCCCGCUAAUACGACAGGUCAAGGUAUAGCCCACGGAGUGGAAGAAAUGGGCUACAUUUUCUAACUUAGAAAACCCCAAUAUAACGAAAGGGAGCAUGAAACAACUCCCAGAAGGCGGAUUUAGCAGUAAAGCAGGAUAA